UGACCCUAUUGCUGCUGGUAACUGGGGAGACUAUGCUGCUGGAGCAGCUGCAGCACAUCCUGGGUCCAUAUUUGGAAGAGUUGUUUUGUAAUGGUCCUGAGGAGCAGUCCACUGCAGAUUUGGUAUCAGAACAAACGCUGAAGCCGGAGUCUGGCCCUUCCACCUCCACAGGGCAAACACAUGGCACCAGGAACCUGGGAGUUCAGACCAAUCUACCCCGAGCAAAGAGAGCGUCUGGGAUAGGCUGAUGAGAGAGCAGCUAGAUAAAACUAAUUGUGAGAGAGAGUUCCAGAAGAACCAAAAGGAGUGUCAAAUAGAUAAGAUGCACAAAGGGUGGAAAGAGAGACAGAAUCUGUAUAGCAUGAGAAGAAAUUGGCGGACAUAUUCUUGAGGGAGUAAGAAAGAGCAGCAGAAAGAGCUUUUUGAGUGAUUACUUUAAGCCCAUGGCUACGAGGCUCCAGUGCCAUCGUCAUCUCUUGCUCUACAGCCUGCAGAGUAUGCAUUCUUUGGACAAUUCAGGAAGUGGCUGGACCAGGUCACAGGCAAUGAACUCUAGUACAUGGAAUGAACAAAUGUAUCCUAUGCAUUCACUUACUCCUGUCCAGUCAUGGCCUGCAUGAACAAAACACACCAGAAAGGCAAAGCAGAACAGAGGAAUGGGAUACCCGGCAAUAAUUGGAUAUGUCAUUUGGGAACAUGGACCGCUGACUUGGCACCGAGUUUGUUUAUUGUGCUGCAUGCUUUGAUGACAGCUGGUUUGACUUUCUGGUUCUUACAGUGGCCUGUAAAUACAUGUGUAAAAUAGUGUUGAAUUUGUGCACAAGGCUACAAUAACAAAUUUUAUUAUAUGUAAUGAUAUAAGUGGAAGGCUUUUCCAGAGAUUUCAGUGGGAGCUGGAUCAGGCAGUAUAUAGUCUAAUCUUUUUCUUCUUUUAUUUAUUUGUAUACUAGUGCACCUAGGAGCCCUAGUCAGGAACCAGGCACCCAUUAUGCGAGGUGGUGUAUAAACAUAUAAUAAUCAGAUGGUCCCUUCCCCAAGGAGCUUACAAUCUAAGUAUAAGAUAAGAGAUGAUAGAUGGAUACAGCCAGACAGAGGAGUACAAGGAAACAAUGAGACCGUAUUGGUCAGAAUGGUAGGCAGUAAUCUCUGCACACCACAUCCUAACUGUUGUUAAGCUUUUUGUAAGCAGCACAGCAAAAGAAGGGUUUGAAGGCGCAUAAUGCGGUACCUCUGUGGAUUUCACCUCCCAAGUGUGAGAGGCAACAAGGGAGAAAGUAUAAAGUUGCUUGUCUGAAAAUUUAAUAAGCCCAUGAUGGAGGCUUCAAUCAGUGGGUUGAUGAGAGGCAAGUAUUGGCAGCUCAGUAGCUAAUGAGCGACGAUAGGAAGGGUGUUGGAUUGACCGUGAAGGGCCUUGAAAGUUAACACAAGUAUCAUACAUUUGAUGUGAUCCAGAAGGGGGACCCAAGUGGAAGGAUUCAAAGAGAAGGGUGAUGUGGUCAAAACAACAGCCUAGCAAAAUGAUCUUUGCAGCAGCAUUCUGUACGGAUAUGAGUGGGUUAAGAUUGCCUUUGUCGAGGCCAUAUAGAAGAAUAUUAUGGUAAUUGAGAUGUGAGAUGAGAGUUUGGACAAAAGUUUUAGCUAAGUAGAUGGAUAAGAAAGUCAUAUCUUAGAGAUUUACGCAGAAAGAAUCAGUGGGAUUUAGAUAUAGACAGGACAAGAGGAUCUAUGCUCAGAAAAUUCCACCGCUUUACCAUACACCAGUGUAACUAAACAAGUGAUUCAUUGCAACCUGAUUUGAUGUCCUAAGCACAGUAUUUCGUGCAGGAGUUGCAAAGCCUGUGGACAGUUGCAUCUAACCUAAAAUAGCUAGCAUUACUCUCUAGAGCAGGUAUGUAAUGCAAGUUUUCCAAACAGUGGCUCCAGACAGUUUGCCCUAUACAUUGGGAUAUGGAGUCUUUCACUUCUAGGUCAUUGUUUCAAGUCCAAGUCAGUAGAAAGCAAAAAUAAUUUUUCUUAGCUAACUCUUUAGUGGCACAUGUGAAAUGAAUUGAUUUUUUUAAAUUUGAUUUUCUAUUGGGCAGGUUUUCACGCUAUAGAAACCGCUAGGGAUCAAAUGGACAAUGGAAACUGAACUACCCUCGCUUGCAAACAUGGUCCCUUCCAGAACAGCGUGGUACUUUUAGCAAGACAUUGGGAAGCUUUUUUUGUUGCUGCCUAUGCUGGCUCUGUUCUGUGGAUAGAGAGGUCAUUUUCCAGGAUUAUCAAUGUGGCACCUUUUGAAAUUUCUUUUAAAAAGUUACAACUGUUUUUAAGGCCAGCUACACCUAAGGUGAUUUACAUCGGUAGCCUCCCACUACAAUUGUCCUUCCUUUCGGACUCUUACGUGGCUCAGUAUUCACUUAUCAUCCAUUAUGAGGCAGGUAGCUGUGGGGAAUUCACACUGCUUAUAGGCAACACACUUUUAUUUUGCUAUCGGUGCUUCGUGAGAGGAGAUUUUAGUCUUUCCUUGAAUGGAAAUAAAAUGAAAAAAAUAUAAAAAGUACUUGACAUUUAUAUGAAGUCCUCUUUUUUGUUUGAGUGACCUCUGUAGAGAUGGUUGAUACUCAGUUGUACUUUCAGCACCAUAGUGACAACAAUCAAGCAUUAAAUUACACAGUCCUCCAGUAGUUUUCACUAGGGGUUUGGCCAUUAACUAGGGUUGGCAGGUGACCAGUUUUUGACUGAAACGCCUGGUCGAAAAGGGACCCUGGCGGCUCUGGUCGGCACCACCGACUGGGCCAUUAAAAGUCCGGUCGGCGGCGCAGUGGGGUCCCGGUGCUAAGGCAGACUCUGAGCCUGCCCUAGCUUCACGCAUCUCCCAGAGGUGGCCACCACCUAAACACCUGGGCAGCAAGGGAGGCUCCGUGCUCUGCCCCCGCCCCGAGGGCUCCGCAACCAAUGGGAGUAGUGCCUGGAGGUGCUGGGCGCGGAGCCUCCCUGGCCACCCAGACAUGUAGGGGCUGCAGGGACCUGGUGGCCGCUUCCCUGGAGCCGUGGUAAACACCACCAGGAUCCCGCAUCCCAGUCCUCUGCCCCAGUCUGGAGUCCCCUCCCCCACCCAAACUCCCUCAUGGAGCCUGCACCACCAAAACUCCCUGCCCGAGCCCGCAGCCUCAUCCCCAGUCCCACCCCAGAGCCCACACCCUCAGCUGGAGCCCUCACAACCUCCCCGUACACCUGCCCCAGCCUAGAGCCCCCUCCUGCACCUCAAAUCCCUUAUCCCCACCCCAGAACCCACACCCCCAGCUGGAGCCCGCACCUCUGCCCCAGCCCAGCCUGCCCCAGCCCAGAGCCCCCUCCUGCACCUCAAACCCCUUAUCCCCACCCCAGAGCCCACACCCCCAGCUGGAGCCUGCACCUCUGCCCCAGCCCCAUGAAAGUGAGGGAGGGGAAGAGGGAGGGGGAGUGUGGGGGAUGGAGUAAGUGCGGGCGGGGCCUCUGAGAAGGAGCAGGGCAGGAGUGUUUGGUUUUUUGCGAUUAGAAAGUUGUCAAUCCUACCAUUAACUACAAUGGGAGCAGGAUUCAUCCUAAAAUUAAUAUUCCUUCAUCACAAGGGUGCUUCUACUCAGGUUCAUUUGCUUAUUCCCUUGUCCCCUUUCACUCCUCCUAGACUUAUUGUAGAACUCUUUCUUAGUGGUUUGGUCAAAACUCUAGGCAAGGGGAGGGGGAAAAAAAGAGUAGUGUCUUCAAUCUCAUGGCUUUAUGUUGGGGGUGGGUCACACUUUUAAUAAUUUUUUUUUUUUUUACUAAAGGUGCUUCAUGUCUGAAAGGACUCCAAGAAGAGCUCAUCCUUGUCCACCUGAUUACAGCCAAGGUCAAGUACUAGGGUCUCCAUCAGGAUACUGUUUCCUUGCACUUAAGUAGGGGCUGCCAUAGUAUUGGUGAGAACACUUAUUUCCCUUAGGAGUUGUGGAGAAAACCUUUGGCCACAUCCUACUCACCUUCUCUCUUGGUAGACUUUUGUGAUGGUUGGCUGGAGGAAGUGUGGCCUAAAGCACAAGACUAGGGCCUUGGCUACACUUGCGAGUUACAGCGCAAUAAAGGAGCCCUGGGCACACUAGCUUACUACCCAUCUGCACUGGCAAGACACGUAGAGCACUUUGACUCUGCGGCUACAGCGCUGCUCGUACUCCACCUCGGCAAGUGGAAUAACGUUUGCUGGUCCCUCACUGGAGCACCAUGGCGCCAGUGCGGAUGAGGUGUUGCAUUACUGCGCUCUGAUCAGCCUCUGGAAACAUCCCAUAAUCCCCUUAAGUCAAGUGGUCACUCUUCUCAUUGUUUUGAACUCGCAGUAGGAAUGUGGAUACUCCCUUUGAAAGCUCAGUUUUUGAGCUUAUCUGCUCCAAGACAAAGCAACCCCUACUGUGGAAUGCUGUGUGUGUGUGUGUGUGUGUGUGUGAGAGGGGGGAGGGGUGGGAGGAGGGGGAGUCUGCUGCUGUCUGAACUUACAAGACAGAAUGCUGACAUGUGCUCAGCCUCCCCCUCCCCCCAAAACCAAUCUCUCUCCCCCCAUAUAAACACAACACACUCCCUGUCACACUCCACCCCCCCCCCACCCCCCAUUUGAAAAGCACGUUGCAGCCACUUGCAUGCUUGGAUAGCUACCACAAUGCACUGCUCUCUGUGGCCGUUGCAAGAGCUGCUAAUGUGGCCACGCAAGUGCACUUGUAGCUGUCAGUGUGGACAGACUGCAGCGCUUUCCCUACUGUGCUCUACGAAGGCGGGUUUAACUCAAAGUGCUCUACAUCUGCAAGUAUAGCCAGUUAGGAGAUCUGGGUUCUUUUCUUGGCUCUGCUACCAUGUUGAAAUCUUUUAUUCCUACUACCUCAGUUUCCCCAUUUUACAGAUCAUGCCUCAUAAAUACAAGUGUUUUCAUUGAGAUUACUUUCCUAAGAAAGACCAGAAGUAUCUGAUCCUUUGUUUUUAACGCUAUUCUAGUCCUGCCCAAUUAAGCACAGCUGACAAUAGGCAAUUUGUUCACACUAUAACUGAAGUUGCUUAGAGUUAAUACACGGAUUAUAGCAAGGUUUGUAUUAAAUCAUUCACAGUGUUCACUGGAAAUAAAAUAUCUGGUAUUCAGAGUUAAAUAGUUAACAGGAAUUGAUCGUCAUAGAAUUGUCAGAGAAGCUAGAAAAUAUAUUUUUUUUUUUUUUUUUGCACAACUCUACUCCCCGAAGUCUGUACAUUAUGGAAGAACUUUCCCUCUACUCAUAGGAAUAACUUGUCUGGAAAAAAAACAGGAUUAUUUUGACACACUAUGUGUGAAAACAUCUUUAAUUAAAGUGCACUAUAUGACAGGCUUAUGGGUGGUAUUUCUGGUGGUUACAUUUUUUUUUAAAUGUUAUACAAAAAAUUACUUUAAACUGGGUUAAUAAAGGACUUCUCUACACAAAAACUUAGUUUGCAGCAAACUGGGUUGUAAAUCUACCUCACACUUGCAUGCUGUGCACUAAGUGUCUGAUCUGGAUUCUGCUGCCUCAUACCAAUAGUUCCCUAAUGCAUUUGGAGCGACUCCUGUUUCAGUGGCCAGUAGAUCAAAGCCACUGGUGCACAUCAUCAACGUCCACAUGGACACUUAGCAUGUGGCAAGCUAAUGUACAGUAGAUUUGCACCCCAAUUUGCUAUGAACUAAAUGUUCAUAUAUAGGCAAGCCUAGAGAAUGACACUAAAAAAUAUUCAGAUAGGUAGAAAUAUCACUGGUUACCAAAAAUGUUUAAACUAGUGACUAACUCUACAACAAUGAUUUCUAAUCUGUUUGAACCACAAAUUACCACAUAAAAACAUCAGCUAUACAAGCAAAUACCUGCCAUUUCCCAGUCUGCUCUAAUCCACAAGGGAGUGUUGCCAGUUUCAAACAUCUGUUUCAUAGAUUUGAAAUCGGACAAAUUCAGUUCAAUGGGAAUUUUGCAUUUGAUGUCACUGGAAGCAGGAUUGGCCCUUAAUUUAGAAAGGAGGAGCCCAGAGUACCAAUUACAAAAUCUUGAAGUGUUUGGGAAAUGCUGCUCUGGAGCAGUACUGUUCUGGGGAUAAAAGAGAGGAAAGUUCACACUACUACUAUACACACGAUAAUUUGAGCUGGUUAUGCUCUCAAAUAUAGCAUGAAUAUAUAAAGGUAAUCAAUCUCAAAAUACUUGAAUCUGUAUGCUCUGCAUCUUUUGAGGGUGGAUUAGACUCAAUACAAACACAGAAACAACAUUACAAAUAUAGCCAUAAUUUGACUCCUAUAAAUCAAAUAGUUUGUGUAAGAAAUGUAGUUUUAAAACUAUACAAUAUUUUCCAGACUUAAAAAAAAAAUAGCAUAUGUUGUGAAUAAAAUAAUUUAACUUGCCACAGUAAUUUGAUCCAUUCUUUUUACUAAUGUAUGAUCUGGAAAUAAAUUUGUGGACUCGCAUUUUCCAGACAAGCUUUAAAAAUGGUAUUUUUCUAACAGUCUCUUUCUAUAGUUUUUGUUUAAUUUCUGUUACAAAAAUGCAACCUACUCUAAAAUUUGAAGUAGAAAAAUACUUACUUCCUAUGUAAAGAUGACCCUAGUGUAUUUAGUAUUGCAGCUAUGUUGGUCCCAGAAUAUUGGACACAAGGUGGUGAGGUAAUAUUUGAUUAGACCAACUUCUGUUGGUGAAAGAGACAAGCUUUCAAGCUAGAAGUAGCUCCUCUUCAAUAAAAGGUAUUAUCUCACCUAUCUUGUCUACCUAUUUAAAAGUUGAAUUUCUAAAUCUUGAAUAUAAUGUUUUAAAAAAAAAAAAAAAAAGGUG